rnacentral:pre_miRNA from 1 species
UUUAAAUGCAACUAUGAUUUUCUGUGCAUAACUUUGACCGUUCGUCUUAUUUAGAAUUAUUUUAAAAAGAUUUAAAAACAUAAGCCAUGUAUAAAGUACUAUUCAUAUUUUAUUAUCUCAUAACAAUAAAAAUACUAAUUAUUAAAAAAUUUAAAUAAGACGGACGAUCAAAGUUGGACACAGAAACUUACAGCUUCUCUUAAA